AGCGUAGGCGGACUUUUAAGUGAGAUGUGAAAUACCCGGGCUCAACUUGGGUGCUGCAUUUCAAACUGGAAGUCUAGAGUGCAGGAGAGGAGAAUGGAAUUCCUAGUGUAGCGGUGAAAUGCGUAGAGAUUAGGAAGAACACCAGUGGCGAAGGCGACUCUCUGGACUGUAACUGACGUUGAGGCUCGAAAGCGUGGGAGCAAACA
rnacentral:rRNA from 1 species